GAUGAACGCUGGCGGCGUGCCUAAUACAUGCAAGUCGAGCGAACAGACGAAGAGCUUGCUCCUCUGACGUUAGCGGCGGACGUGUGAGUAACACGGGGAUACCCCCCCUAUAAUACUGGGAUAACUGCGGGAAACCGGAUCUAAUACCGGAUAAUAUAUUGAACCGCAUGGUUCAAUAGUGAAAUACCGUUUUGCUGUCACUUAUAGAUCGAUCCGCGCCGCAUUAGCUAGUUGGUAAGGUAACGGCUUACCAAGGCAACGAUGCGUAGCCGACCUGAGAGCGUGAACGGCCACACUGGAACUGUGACACGGUCCAGGCUCCUACGGGAGGCAGCAGUAGGGAAUCUUCGGCAAUGGGCGAAAGUUUGACGGAGCAACGCCGCGUGAGUGAUGAAGGUCUUCGGAUCGUAAAACUCUGUUCUUAGGGAAGAACAAUUGUGUAAGUAACUAUGCACGUCUUGACGGUACCUAAUCAGAAAGCAACGGCUAACUACGUG
rnacentral:rRNA from 1 species